rnacentral:rRNA from 1 species
GAGAGUUAAACAGUACGUGAAAUUGUUGAAAGGGAAACGAUUGAAGCCAGUCGUACCUAUGGGUAAUCAGCCUUUUGGGUGUGAUUUUGUGGAGCGUGAGGAGUUAAACGCCCUCAUGCCUGCAUAUUCGUGCACUUUGGGUGUACUUGCCCGUGUGUAAGUUAACAUCAAUUUUGGUGGUCAUAAAAUGGCUGGAGGAAUGUAGCUUCGAUCUUGUAUUGAAGUGUUAUAGCCUUCGGUAGAUGUGACGAUCGGGAUUGAGGAUUGCAACGGAUACCCUUCGGGGCUACCUGUCUGGUCUCUGAUUGUUGCUCUGGUGCCGAAAGCUUGCUUACGGUUAUCAAAGUCGAUGGUCAAUAGGUUAGAAUGGGUUAAAUUCGUUAAGGAUGUUGACGUAAUGGCUUUAAACGA